rnacentral:lncRNA from 1 species
UCGAUGGUCUUCCCUCUUGAUCGUUAGAAAAAAGGGUCGGAGUUUUGCAGAGAUGGUAGUGGUCCAUUGAUCCGAGCUUUUCUGAUGGCCGCCGAUCGAGAUUUUGGGGAGAGGAUCCACGACUUUUGCCCCUCUUUCUCUACUAAUCUCUUGCAAUGGUUGGUGAACCAAUAGUCGGGAUGACAUUUUAGGCCGAUGCUUGUGGUCGGUCGGUGACUAGCCGAUGGAGCUUUAAAGGAAGGGGUAGCUGGCCAUGAGGUUUUUCACCCUCAUUUUGUUGUAAAAUUGGGAGAAGAA